UGAACUGAUGUUUACAGCUUACCUAUGUUCUGCAAUCUAAGUGCAGAAGUAGUAGAUAAGUUUGUCCAUAAAGAUGGAAGAAGGAAAGCUUAGUUUGAAAGAUCACCUGGGGCCAUCCAAGACGAUGCCAGUCGCCAAGCCUAUCUUCAGCUGUAAGUAGACUGGUCCUUUUCUCUUUUAAUGGGCAAUGGUACGAAGGGCGGUCAUUCUCAGAAGUUCGAAAUCAAGCGAAGGAGCUACUAGUCGUCCCUUUCAUGAAAUAUCACGUGAGCCAUCCGCAAGAAAGGAUAGAAGUUUAGAGGUAGUUCUCUGCCGUAGUUUUGAGCCCGCAGAUGUUCAUGCUUCACGUUUUGUCAUAUAAUCAGAUACAUUUGCAAAAUUCUGCCAGUCGUAAACGCAUCAGUUUACAACCUUCUGCAUGUGCACUUCUAUAGGCAUAGAAUGAUUGGUCAGAUCGCUUUUGCUCUUGUGGUUGACCAGCACAGUUGUUCCACUCGAUAGCAGUGUCAAUUGUAAGGGGCUGACGCUGGAUAUUUUGUUCCUUCUACCUUUCCUGUGCCGGAGAUGGUACGUGUGCUUACCACGAUUCAGAUCAAGAAUGAUUACUGGCUGCCUUUGCACUAGAAGAACAACUAGGUUGGGACAAUGUCUAGCCAGUUUAGAUCGGUCCAGCAACCUGGAUCAUCGGAAAACUAUUUUCGCCGAUAAUGAACGGCUGUGUUCGAGUACAAUGAUUAGGUGGACCGUGCUACCGGGUCUUGCAUGCAGGAACGUGUCGUUGCCGAUCAGGUGAACGAAGAACAUGACAAUCCAACUCUCUCCCUACGAAAGAAGUGUGGAGGAAUCUGGGCAUGUGCUUCAUCUAUUCUUGACGGCAGGUAAAGGCAUUUAGUGGUAAGGAAUCUAUUUCUCGGAAGCGGGGACCGAUCACUCUCAAACUUCUGAUUGGACAGGGGCCGGUUUCGUACAAUCUACUUGUGUCAUUUGGUUAAUGUCUCAUAUCAUUUGUCUCUCAUCUUGAUUAGGGCCCAUUUGUCGCAUUGAGACAAGAUUCUGCGAUCUUCCGUCUCAUGCGUGAAAGAGUCGCAUAUCGACCGAGUACAUAGACUAUAAAAAUCGGGUCUAAGAGCGUCGGAACGUCGAGUGGGCCGACACGAUUUUUCCAAUAAACAGACAAUUUCAUC
rnacentral:lncRNA from 1 species